UUGAACGCUGGCGGAAUGCUUUACACAUGCAAGUCGAACGGCAGCACGGGGGCAGCCCUGGUGGCGAGUGGCGAACGGGUGAGUAAUACAUCGGAACGUGCCCGGUCGUGGGGGAUAACGUAGCGAAAGUUACGCUAAUACCGCAUACGAUCUGAGGAUGAAAGCGGGGGACCUUCGGGCCUCGCGCGAUCGGAGCGGCCGAUGUCAGAUUAGGUAGUUGGUGGGGUAAAGGCCUACCAAGCCGACGAUCUGUAGCUGGUCUGAGAGGACGACCAGCCACACUGGGACUGAGACACGGCCCAGACUCCUACGGGAGGCAGCAGUGGGGAAUUUUGGACAAUGGGCGCAAGCCUGAUCCAGCCAUUCCGCGUGCAGGACGAAGGCCUUCGGGUUGUAAACUGCUUUUGUACGGAACGAAAAGGCUCUGGCUAAUACCUGGGGCUCAUGACGGUACCGGAAGAAUAAGCACCGGCUAACUACGUG
rnacentral:rRNA from 1 species